rnacentral:sRNA from 1 species
ACACGUGUAGGAUCUGUAGGAAUGGGCCAAGUAAAUAAAGCGAAGCUGAUGAUGAAAACAAGAGGAGAA